GCUGGGCGUGGUGGCGUGUGCCGGUAAUCCCAGCUACUUAGGAGGCUGAGGCGGGAGACUUGCUUGAACCCGGGAGAUUGAGGUUGCAGUGAGCUAAGACAUGCCACUGCACUCCAGCCUGGGUGACAGAGCAAGACUCCAUCUCAA
ensembl:misc_RNA Metazoa_SRP Metazoan signal recognition particle RNA